AACGCAUAUUGCGCCCUCUAGUAUUCUAGGAGGCAUGCCUGUUCGAGCGUCAUUUCAACUCUUAGGCCUAGCCUAGUGUUGGGGCCUUAUAGCGCAUAAGCCCUGAAUUACAGUGGCGGUCCCUCUGAUGGCCGAGCGUAGUAAUCUUUCUCGCUACGGAAACAUUGCGGGGUACCAGCCGUAAAACGAGCCACCUCUAACAGUUGACCUCGGAUCAGGUAGGAAUACCCGCUGAACUUAA
rnacentral:misc_RNA from 1 species